rfam:Nicotiana sylvestris Nsyl_contig146604, whole genome shotgun sequence.
GGAUGCGAUCAUACCAACAUUAACGCACCGGAUCCCAUCAGAACUCCGAAGUUAAGCGUGCUUGGGCGAGAGUAGUACUAGGAUGGGUGACCCCCUGGGAAGUCCUCGUGUUGCAUCCU